AUCGCAGGCUGCAACCCGCCUGCGUGAAGUUGGAAUCGCUGUAAUCGCGGAUCAGCAUGCCGCGGUGAAUACGUUCCCGGGCCUUGUACACACCGCCCGUCACACCAUGAGAGUCGGGAACACCCGAAGUCCGUAGCCUAACCGCAAGGGGGGCGCGGCCGAAGGUGGGUUCGAUAAUUGGGGUGAAGUCGUAACAAGGUAUC
rnacentral:rRNA from 1 species